UGACCUUGGAAAUCAAGAAUGGGUGGAGCCUGUUGAAUUAAUUCUAGGCGACCCAUACUUGGUUUCAAGGG
rnacentral:pre_miRNA from 1 species